rnacentral:lncRNA from 1 species
AGAGGGCAAAAUUCGACGAUAAAGGAAAAAAUUAGAAAAGUAAGGUGAAAUUUAAGAAAAACAAUAUCGUUUUCCUUUAAUUAAGGAUGACGUCAUUUUGAACCGAACUCCGGCGAGUCUACGUGUAACUCCGACGUCCACGUCAUUUUUAAAUUUGGGGAUUUUAGGUGUCAUGGGAAAAAUCAGAAAAUAUUCAAAUAUUUAUGUAUUGUGAGACUGAUUUUAAAAGUGGUGUACAAUUCCAUAAUUUGGUAAAAGUUUAUAUAUUUAGGAGCAAUUACUCAUUUAUAAGUAUAGAUAAAAAAAAGAGAAAAU